rnacentral:lncRNA from 1 species
AUAUUGUCGAUAGCAGAAGCAGGAUGAUGUCUCCCGAUUAUCCCAGUGCCUGCUUUAAGGCUUUGUAGGUAAGGUCUUAGUGGGACUCCGAGCAAUCCACCCCUUCCUACUUUUCAGAUCUCCUUGGAGCAAGCUGCUCAUCUGGAAUGAUCCUGAUGUUGUGGAACAUCUGGCCAGCUUUGUGCUUCUGCUCCUGUUCCAAACACGACACCUUCCUGCCUCUGGAAUGUGCUGUUCAGCCUCUUCCUUACACCUUGGAUUCUGCUUUAUGACAUCCUUCCAUUACCUGGCAGCUUAUAUCCAAGAGGAUGGGGUUGGCUGGUAGAAGGGGCGGGGGCCAAGGAUAGGCACUUGAAAGGCAAACUCACAUGGGCCUCGUACCGGGAGUAGUGGUAGAGGCAACAAGGCAGCUUGUCUUGCUGGGAAGAAAGGUACCACCUUUGAGAUGAGAUGAGAUGAGGAGGUGGCACGAUGGUUUCUAUCACUGAGAGGGAGAGGAAGACGGGAGCCUUGUAUGGACCUAGCUCAUCACAUGGCCCUUCCCGGAUGUGGCAAGUCCUGGCAGCUGCUGCUCCUCCUAGUAGCCCACCUCUGGAGUGCUUGUUUCAAGGCGAUCCACAGUCAAACAGAUCAUGAAAUUAAGAUCACACUAGAACCACCAAGACCUAGAGUGGGACACAAUAUUACCCUCAUUCCAGGAGGAUAUGUGAAGGACAUAGGGAUUUGCUUCUGGCUCCGAGGUGGGAAGGAGGAAAGGCAUCGUAUUUUCACUUAUUUUCCUGCUCCCCAUUUUAUACAACGAGAGGGACCCGCCUCCACCGGNNNNNNNNNNNNNNNNNNNNNNNNNNNNNNUAUUUUCACUUAUUUUCCUGCUCCCCAUUUUAUACAACGAGACGGACCUGCCUCCACUGGACGAGAGACUCCAGGAGAAGGCUGCUCGAUGCACAUCUGUCAGCUGAUGGCUGAAGACAGCGGAAACUAUACUGUGUUAAAGAAUAAACUCAGAGGAUCUGAUGAACAUCAAGAAGGACAUAUAUUCUUAUCAGUCUCAACUGAAAAUCAAGAAGAACCAAAAAGUACAAAAGUUCAUCAUUUCCCUUGGAGUAUUUUUCCAGGAAUUACCCUUGGAUGUCUUCUUGGGUUGAUUCUCACAGGAGGAUUGGUUUAUUACCGACACUUCAGAGCAUCAUCCACGCAAGAUACAGCAAAAGAGGAAGCAUUGCAUAGCCCUAACAGCUCACAUUCUGGAAGCAACCCAGCUCAACAGGAAAAGGAUAUUGUGCCUCUUUCCCCCUGAUGUACUAGAUUUCUUCUUGUGGUAGCCAUGGGGAAGAUCAUCCCACUUUAGGAUACUGUCAGCUUUCAAGUUUAGAACAAGCACCGCUGGACUUUUUCGCCUGCCCUGAAGAAGAAAUAUCAAAAAGAAAUAUCAAGCACAUCCACUGCAGAGAUGAUCAGUAGAGGCAUUACCUCCUCCUGUCACAGCUGCUGAUGAAAUAAAAAACACCAUUGCUUUUUUCUAGGAGGGUCA